AGCAACCCUAAUAUUUGAAUGGUUACAAGGAUACCACUCUACUGGAUCAGCUCUUCAUGGCAGCUCUGCAGGAGGUCUCCUGGUGACAUCAGCACCAUAUCACAGCCCGCUGAGGGCAGGCGGACUCACGCACCAUGUAUAUCAAGUUGGCCAGAAUGCACUGGACCUCGUCAAUGUCCACGUCUUCCACAUGCAUGAACUUCAAAGCAACCAGAAAGGCGUCUAGGGACAGCUGAUGUGUCUUGAGUAACAAAUACCUAUGAAGAAAAGAAACUACUGUAAGUAACAACAGGACUCAGCACUUCAGGGACAAGAAGAAGAGCCAGAGGACAGGCAGUGACAUUAUUUGAGACUCAGACACUGUCUUCUGCCUGGAUGGAUCCUGCACGCACACGAUGCACUUCCUACCCACAUGCAGGCAACACUCAAUAAAACAAAAGUAAAUCUU
ensembl:antisense Gm17023 predicted gene 17023